UACGGAGGGUGCGAGCGUUGUCCGGAAUCAUUGGGCGUAAAGGGCGCGUAGGUGGCCCGGUCAGUUCGUGGUGAAAGCUCGGGGCUCAACCCCGAGUCGGCCGUGCGAACUGCUGGGCUUGAGCACUGUAGAGGCAGGCGGAAUUCCGGGUGUAGCGGUGGAAUGCGUAGAGAUCCGGAAGAACACCGGUGGCGAAGGCGGCCUGCUGGGCAGUAGCUGACACUGAGGCGCGACAGCGUGGGGAGCAAACAGG
rnacentral:rRNA from 1 species